GCCAAGUGUAAUAUCAUAAUUAUCCCAUGGAAUUUAUUAAUUUAAUAUUUAAUUUAACUAAGUGGAAGGUUCGAGUCUGGUCGACCCGAAACGACCUGUUCGUGGUGGUCACCCCACCCGGGUUCGAACCCCAAUGAAAACUUCAAUUAAAUGUAUAUAAUUUGAGGUUUAAAAUAUGAUUUUUAAGGUCUUUAUGGUCAUUUCACUAAGAUAAUUAAAUCAGAUUUUUUUAUUAAAUUAACAAGGAGUCCUAGUUUUACUAAUUCCUAAACUAAAACUCCUAAUCCUGAACUACUCUCUCACGCUCAUCUCUUUCACGUCUCUGCACUUUUCUUUCACGUUUUAUCUGCCAAACAAGAGUACUAAAGUAGAAAAAUUACUAAAGUUCUUCACACAUGAAGAACUCACACAAUAAAAAAUCAAAACAUAAGCAAAAACGUUAAGCAAAAAGGGAAGUUUCUCUGUCGAAUUGUGUUGAAGUUGCAGGGAAUUGGAUGUGAUUUUGGAGAAGAUUUUGGGCAGGAAGUUCAAGGUUUGAACGAUAGAAGAGGUGCAGGUGCAGGUGAACGCUAGAAAAUUACAAGACUAUGCUGAUGUUAUUAGGACGUGGAGCAUUCAUCUGGUCUUGGUGAAGAUGCAGGUGAACGCUAGAAAAUUACAAGACUAUGCUGAUGUUAUUCGGACGUGGAGCAUUCAUCUGGUCUUGGUAGGCCCUCUUGCUUUCGAGGAUGCCUAUAUUUUAUAUUCUAGCUUAGAUGUAGGCAUGAGCUAGUGGAGGAUGUUCCACUAGCGUUUCUUUCUCACUUGUUUCAGACAUUGUAUUGGUUCCAUCUUGGCAAGUGUACGUUUAAUGCAGUUAUGAAUUAUUUCAUUCAUUUGA